UACGGGGGGAGCAAACGUUGUUCGGAAUCACUGGGCGUAAAGGGCGUGUAGGCGGCUGGAUAAGUGGGAUGUUAAAUCCCCCGGCUCAACCGGGGACCUGCAUCUCAUACUGUUCAGCUCGAGCACAUCAGAGGAGACUGGAAUUCCCGGUGUAGCGGUGAAAUGCGUAGAUAUCAGGAGGAACACCGGUGGCGAAGGCGGGUCUCUGGGCCGAUACUGACGCUGAGACGCGAAAGCGUGGGGAGCGAACAGG
rnacentral:rRNA from 1 species